rnacentral:rRNA from 1 species
GUAGGUGGCAAGCGUUGUCCGGAAUUAUUGGGCGUAAAGCGCGCGCAGGCGGUCCUUUAAGUCUGAUGUGAAAGCCCACGGCUCAACCGUGGAGGGUCAUUGGAAACUGGGGGACUUGAGUACAGAAGAGGAAAGCGGAAUUCCAAGUGUAGCGGUGAAAUGCGUAGAGAUUUGGAGGAACACCAGUGGCGAAGGCGGCUUUCUGGUCUGUAACUGACGCUGAGGCGCGAAAGCGUGGGGAGCAAACAGGGAUUAGAUACCCUGGUAGUCCACGCCGUAAACGAUGAGUGCUAAGUGUUAGGGGGUUUCCGCCCCCUUAGUGCUGCAGCUAACGCAUUAAGCACUCGCCUGGGGAUACGGCCGCAAGGCUG